AUCAACGCUGGCGGCGUGCCUAACACAUGCAAGUCGUACGAGAAAGUGGAGCAAUCCAUGAGUAAAGUGGCGACCGGGUGAGUAACACGUGACUACCUACCUUCUAGUGGGGGAUAACUCCGGGAAACCGGAGCUAAUACCGCAUAACAUCGCAAGAUCAAAGCAGCAAUGCGCUGGAAGAGGGGGUCGCGCCUGAUUAGCUAGUUGGUAAGGUAACGGCUUACCAAGGCGAAGAUCAGUAGCCGGCCUGAGAGGGCGCACGGUCACACUGGAACUGAAACACGGUCCAGACUCCUACGGGAAGGCAGCAGUGGGGAAUUUUGCGCAAUGGGGGAAACCCUGACGCAGCAACGCCGCGUGGAGGAUGAAGUCCUUUGGGACGUAAACUCCUUUCGACCAAGACGAUGAUGACGGUACUGGUGGAAGAAGCACCGGCUAACUCUGUGCCAGCAGCCGCAGGUAAUACAGAGGGGUGCGAGCGUUGUUCGGAAUUAUUGGGCGUAAAGGGCGCGUAGGCGGCGCCACAAGUCACCUGUGAAAUCUCCCGGCUCAACUGGGAGCUUGCAGGCGAAACUGUGGUGCUGGAGUAUGGGAGAGGUGCGUGGAAUUCCCGGUGUGUAGCGGUGAAAUGCGUAGAUAUCGGGAGGAACACCUGUGGCGAAAGCGGCGCACUGGACCAUAACUGACGCUGAGGCGCGAAAGCUAGGGGAGCAAACAGGAUUAGAUACCCUGGUAGUCCUAGCCCUAAACUAUGGAUGCUUGGUGUAGCAGGUACCCAAUCCUGCCGUGCCGAAGCUAACGCGAUAAGCAUCCCGCCUGGGGAAGUACGGUCGCAAGACUGAAACUCAAAGGAAUUGACGGGGGCCCGCACAAGCGGUGGAGCAUGUGGUUCAAUUCGACGCAACGCGAAGAACCUUACCUGGGCUCGAAAUGUAGGAGACUGGGGUAGAAAUAUCCCUUUCCGCAAGGACCCCUAUAUAGGUGCUGCAUGGCUGUCGUCAGCUCGUGUCGUGAGAUGUUGGGUUAAGUCCCGCAACGAGCGCAACCCUUAUCUCUAGUUGCCAUCGGGUCAAGCCGGGCACUCUAGCGAAACCGCGUAGGAUAACUACGAGGAAGGUGGGGAUGACGUCAAGUCCUCAUGGCCUUUAUGUCCAGGGCUACACACGUGCUACAAUGGUCGGUUACAAAACGUCGCAAACCCGUGAGGGGGAGCUAAUCGGAAAAAGCCGGCCUCAGUUCGGAUUGGAGUCUGCAAUUCGACUCCAUGAAGCUGGAAUCGCUGGUAAUCGCAGAUCAGAACGCUGCGGUGAAUACGUUCCCGGGCCUUGUACACACCGCCCGUCACAUCACGAAAGUGGACUGCACUAGAAGUCGGCGUGCUAACCGCGAGGAGGCAGCCGCCCAAGGUAUGGUUCAUGAUUGGGGUG
rnacentral:rRNA from 1 species